UGCCCGGUGACCUAGUUCAACGGCCGCGGUAUCCUAACCGUGCAAAGGUAGCGCAAUCAAUUGUCCCAUAAAUCGAGACCUGUAUGAAUGGCUAAACGAGGUCUUAACUGUCUCUUACAGGCAAUCAGUGAAAUUGAUCUUCCUGUGCAAAAGCAGGAAUAAACCCAUAAGACGAGAAGACCCUGUGGAACUUCAAAAUCGCGGCCACACUUAAGUCACAUACAAACCCACCCCGGGCUCACUCCCUAUUAAGUUACUGGCACGCAUUUUUCGGUUGGGGCGACCUUGGAGAAAAACAAAUCCUCCAAAAACCAGACCACAACUCUUGACCAAGAGCAACCCCUCAACGUGCUAAUAGCAUCCAGACCCAAUACAAUUGAUCAAUGGACCAAGCUACCCCAGGGAUAACAGCGCAAUCUCCUUCGAGAGUCCGUAUCGACGAGGAGGUUUACGACCUCGAUGUUGGAUCAGGACAUCCUAGUGGUGCAGAGGCUACUAAGGGUUCGUU
rnacentral:rRNA from 1 species